rnacentral:rRNA from 1 species
UAAUACAUGCAAGUCGAACGGAAGUUGGAUUUAUUCAGCUUUAGUGGCAAACGGGUGAGUAACGCGUGGGAAUCUACCCUUUGGUGGGGGACAACUGGGGGAAACCCCAGCUAAUACCGCAUAUUAUUGGCAACAAUGAAAGAUUUUAUUGCCAAAGGAUGAGCCCGCGUCAGAUUAGGUAGUUGGUAGGGUAAUGGCCUACCAAGCCUGUGAUCUGUAGCUGAUUUGAGAGAAUGAUCAGCCACACUGGGAUUGAGAUACGGCCCAGACUCC